rnacentral:rRNA from 1 species
CCUACGGGGGGCAGCAGUGGGGAAUAUUGCGCAAUGGGCGAAAGCCUGACGCAGCGACGCCGCGUGAGGGAUGACGGCCUUCGGGUUGUAAACCUCUUUCAGCUCUGACGAAGCGCAAGUGACGGUAGGAGCAGAAGAAGCACCGGCCAACUACGUGCCAGCAGCCGCGGUAAUACGUAGGGUGCAAGCGUUGUCCGGAAUUAUUGGGCGUAAAGAGCUCGUAGGCGGUCUGUCGCGUCGAAUGUGAAAACACGAGGCUCAACUUCGUGCCUGCAUUCGAUACGGGCAGACUAGAGUUCGGUAGGGGAGUCUGGAAUUCCUGGUGUAGCGGUGAAAUGCGCAGAUAUCAGGAGGAACACCGGUGGCGAAGGCGGGACUCUGGGCCGAUACUGACGCUGAGGAGCGAAAGCGUGGGGAGCAAACAGGAUUAG